AUAUCCAAGUUUGCGUUUAGGAGAAAAACGGGAUACAUCUGUAUGCGCACAAAAAAAAAACAGGAAUACAUUUCACCCAAAUAAUUUUUUGGUUGAUGAACAUAUCCUUGUCAAAGAGUCUUUCGCUUCUGUUAGUUGCCAUCAAUCAUUGGUUGAUGGAGAAAAUUGCAGGUGUGAGAAUAUCUACUGAUCUAUUUCCAAAUCCACACUCGAAUCGACCAGUAGAGAAGGACACGAUCCUGUCCCUCUUCUUGUGUGGUAGAAUUGAACACCCUCAUUUUUUGUGGAAACGUACAAGCAGUAGCAAGAUGUCAGCAACAGGGAGCAUGAGAGCAAAUGAUGUUUAACAAUCGAUGUGGAGCCUCUG